GGUCAAGUGAAGAAGCGCAUACGGUGGAUGCCUUGGCAGUCAGAGGCGAUGAAAGACGUGGUAGCCUGCGAAAAGCUUCGGGGAGUCGGCAAACAGACUGUGAUCCGGAGAUGUCUGAAUGGGGGAACCCAGCCAUCAUAAGAUGGUUAUCUUGUACUGAAUACAUAGGUGCAAGAGGCGAACCAGGGGAACUGAAACAUCUAAGUACCCUGAGGAAAAGAAAUCAACCGAGAUUCCCUUAGUAGUGGCGAGCGAACGGGGACCAGCCCUUAAGUUGUAUUGAGAUUAGCGGAACGUUCUGGAAAGGACGGCCAUAGUGGGUGAUAGCCCUGUACGCGAAAAUCCCUUUGCAAUGAAAUCGAGUAGGACGGGGCACGAGAAACCUUGUCUGAAUAUGGGGGGACCAUCCUCCAAGGCUAAAUACUACUGACUGACCGAUAGUGAACCAGUACCGUGAGGGAAAGGCGAAAAGAACCGCGGAGAGCGGAGUGAAAUAGAUCCUGAAACCGUAUGCGUACAAGCAGUGGGAGCCCACUUUGUUGGGUGACUGCGUACCUUUUGUAUAAUGGGUCAGCGACUUAUUUUCAGUGGCGAGCUUAACCGAAUAGGGGAGGCGUAGCGAAAGCGAGUCUUAAUAGGGCGUCUAGUCGCUGGGAAUAGACCCGAAACCGGGCGAUCUAUCCAUGGGCAGGUUGAAGGUUGGGUAACACUAACUGGAGGACCGAACCGACUACCGUUGAAAAGUUAGCGGAUGACCUGUGGAUCGGAGUGAAAGGCUAAUCAAGCUCGGAGAUAGCUGGUUCUCCUCGAAAGCUAUUUAGGUAGCGCCUCAUGUAUCACUGUAGGGGGUAGAGCACUGUUUCGGCUAGGGGGUCAUCCCGACUUACCAAACCGAUGCAAACUCCGAAUACCUACAAGUGCCGAGCAUGGGAGACACACGGCGGGUGCUAACGUCCGUCGUGAAAAGGGAAACAACCCAGACCGUCAGCUAAGGUCCCAAAGUCAUGGUUAAGUGGGAAACGAUGUGGGAAGGCUUAGACAGCUAGGAGGUUGGCUUAGAAGCAGCCACCCUUUAAAGAAAGCGUAAUAGCUCACUAGUCGAGUCGGCCUGCGCGGAAGAUGUAACGGGGCUCAAACCAUGCACCGAAGCUACGGGUAUCAUCUUUUGAUGAUGCGGUAGAGGAGCGUUCUGUAAGCCUGUGAAGGUGAGUUGAGAAGCUUGCUGGAGGUAUCAGAAGUGCGAAUGCUGACAUGAGUAACGACAAUGGGUGUGAAAAACACCCACGCCGAAAGACCAAGGUUUCCUGCGCAACGUUAAUCGACGCAGGGUUAGUCGGUCCCUAAGGCGAGGCUGAAAAGCGUAGUCGAUGGAAAACAGGUUAAUAUUCCUGUACUUCUGGUUAUUGCGAUGGAGGGACGGAGAAGGCUAGGCCAGCCUGGCGUUGGUAGUCCAGGUUUAAGGUGGUAGGCUGAGAUCUUAGGUAAAUCCGGGAUCUUAAGGCCGAGAGCUGAUGACGAGUGUUCUUUUAGAACAUGAAGUGGUUGAUGCCAUGCUUCCAAGAAAAGCUUCUAAGCUUCAGGUAACCAGGAACCGUACCCCAAACCGACACAGGUGGUUGGGUAGAGAAUACCAAGGCGCUUGAGAGAACUCGGGUGAAGGAACUAGGCAAAAUGGCACCGUAACUUCGGGAGAAGGUGCGCCGGUGGAGGUGAAGCAUUUACUGCGUAAGCCCCUGCCGGUCGAAGAUACCAGGCCGCUGCGACUGUUUAUUAAAAACACAGCACUCUGCAAACACGAAAGUGGACGUAUAGGGUGUGACGCCUGCCCGGUGCCGGAAGGUUAAUUGAUGGGGUUAGCGCAAGCGAAGCUCUUGAUCGAAGCCCCGGUAAACGGCGGCCGUAACUAUAACGGUCCUAAGGUAGCGAAAUUCCUUGUCGGGUAAGUUCCGACCUGCACGAAUGGCGUAACGAUGGCGGCGCUGUCUCCACCCGAGACUCAGUGAAAUUGAAAUCGCUGUGAAGAUGCAGUGUAUCCGCGGCUAGACGGAAAGACCCCGUGAACCUUUACUAUAGCUUUGCACUGGACUUUGAAUUUGCUUGUGUAGGAUAGGUGGGAGGCUUUGAAGCGUGGACGCCAGUCUGCGUGGAGCCAACCUUGAAAUACCACCCUGGCAACUUUGAGGUUCUAACUCAGGUCCGUUAUCCGGAUCGAGGACAGUGUAUGGUGGGUAGUUUGACUGGGGCGGUCUCCUCCUAAAGAGUAACGGAGGAGUACGAAGGUGCGCUCAGACCGGUCGGAAAUCGGUCGUAGAGUAUAAAGGCAAAAGCGCGCUUGACUGCGAGACAGACACGUCGAGCAGGUACGAAAGUAGGUCUUAGUGAUCCGGUGGUUCUGUAUGGAAGGGCCAUCGCUCAACGGAUAAAAGGUACUCCGGGGAUAACAGGCUGAUACCGCCCAAGAGUUCAUAUCGACGGCGGUGUUUGGCACCUCGAUGUCGGCUCAUCACAUCCUGGGGCUGAAGCCGGUCCCAAGGGUAUGGCUGUUCGCCAUUUAAAGUGGUACGCGAGCUGGGUUUAGAACGUCGUGAGACAGUUCGGUCCCUAUCUGCCGUGGACGUUUGAGAUUUGAGAGGGGCUGCUCCUAGUACGAGAGGACCGGAGUGGACGAACCUCUGGUGUUCCGGUUGUCACGCCAGUGGCAUUGCCGGGUAGCUAUGUUCGGAAAAGAUAACCGCUGAAAGCAUCUAAGCGGGAAACUUGCCUCAAGAUGAGAUCUCACUGGAACCUUGAGUUCCCUAAAGGGCCGUCGAAGACUACGACGUUGAUAGGUUGGGUGUGUAAGCGCUGUGAGGCGUUGAGCUAACCAAUACUAAUUGCCCGUGAGGCUUGACCAU
rnacentral:rRNA from 1 species